UCACUGGUGAUUCAUGAUAACUCCUCGAAUCGCAUGGCCUUGUGCCGGCGAUGGUUCAUUCAAAUUUCUUCCCUAUCAACUUUCGAUGUUUGGGUAUUGGCCAAACAUGGUUGCAACGGGUAACGGAGGGUUAGGGCUCGACCCCGGAGAAGGAGCCUGAGAAACGGCUACUACAUCCAAGGAAGGCAGCAGGCGCGCAAAUUACCCAAUCCCGACACGGGGAGGUAGUGACAAUAAAUACUGAUACAGGGCUCUUUUGGGUCUUGUAAUUGGAAUGAGUACAAUUUAAAUCCCUUAACGAGGAACAAUUGGAGGGCAAGUCUGGUGCCAGCAGCCGCGGUAAUUCCAGCUCCAAUAGCGUAUAUUAAAGUUGUUGUGGUUAAAAAGCUCGUAGUUGAACCUUGGGCCUGGCUGGCCGGUCCGCCUCACCGCGUGUACUGGUCCGGCCGGGCCUUUCCCUCUGUGGAACCCCAUGCCCUUCACUGGGUGUGGCGGGGAAACAGGACUUUUACUGUGAAAAAAUUAGAGUGCUCCAGGCAGGCCUAUGCUCGAAUACAUUAGCAUGGAAUAAUAGAAUAGGACGUGUGGUUCUAUUUUGUUGGUUUCUAGGACCGCCGUAAUGAUUAAUAGGGACAGUCGGGGGCAUCAGUAUUCAAUUGUCAGAGGUGAAAUUCUUGGAUUUAUUGAAGACUAACUACUGCGAAAGCAUUUGCCAAGGAUGUUUUCAUUAAUCAGGAA
rnacentral:rRNA from 1 species